rnacentral:rRNA from 1 species
CACGUAGGGUGCGAGCGUUGUCCGGAAUUAUUGGGCGUAAAGAGCUCGUAGGCGGUCUGUCGCGUCUGCUGUGAAAACUCAGGGCUUAACCCUGAGCUUGCAGUGGGUACGGGCAGACUAGAGUGCGGUAGGGGAGACUGGAAUUCCUGGUGUAGCGGUGAAAUGCGCAGAUAUCAGGAGGAACACCGGUGGCGAAGGCGGGUCUCUGGGCCGUAACUGACGCUGGAGACGCGAAAGCGUGGGGAGCGAACAGG